GACGAACGCUGGCGGCGUGCCUAAUACAUGCAAGUCGAGCGGACUAAUGGGAGCUUGCUCCCGUUAGUUAGCGGCGGACGGGUGAGUAACACGUGGGCAACCUACCUGUAAGACUGGGAUAACUUCGGGAAACCGGAGCUAAUACCGGAUGACAUAAAGGAACUCCUGUUCCUUUAUUGAAAGAUGGCUUCGGCUAUCACUUACAGAUGGGCCCGCGGCGCAUUAGCGAGUUGGUGAGGUAAUGGCUCACCAAGGCGACGAUGCGUAGCCGACCUGAGAGGGUGAUCGGCCACACUGGGACUGAGACACGGCCCAGACUCCUACGGGAGGCAGCAGUAGGGAAUCUUCCGCAAUGGACGAAAGUCUGACGGAGCAACGCCGCGUGAGCGAUGAAGGCCUUCGGGUCGUAAAGCUCUGUUGUUAGGGAAGAAUAAGUGCUAGUUAAAUAAGCUGGCACCUUGACGGUACCUAACCAGAAAGCCACGGCUAACUACGUGCCAGCCGCCGCGGUAAUAC
rnacentral:rRNA from 1 species